rnacentral:lncRNA from 1 species
CGCGUGAGAGAAGAAAAAACGCUAGAAAAAAAAAAUCAUCCAUCGCCGCUUGCGACUCCGAGCGGCGCCACCGCCGCCACCACCGCCGUCUGCCACCGCCACCGCCGCCGUCUGCCACCGCGCCGCCGCCGCCGCCCUCUGCUGCCGCCGCUCUACUCCCCGGAUCUACACACACCAUCCUGCUUCGCUCCCGUUCCAUGCCCAAAACUUGCAUAUCACUUGCGCCUCAAACAAGCUAGGGUAGUCGUCGGGGGGAGGGGGGCGCUUGCUGCUCCCUCCGCCGGCACCAUCUCCAGUCCCGGUGUCGUCUCUCGCUGUUGGAUCCGGAGUCGCGCCUCCACUUUCUUCAUCCUAGUCGAGCCGAGCCACUUUGGGAUCUACCGUUGCUGCCUUUAUACUGUGUCGACUAUUGCGAGACAUAACUCAGCUAACCAAGGAAAUUCGGUGGCACUAACUGAGGUGUUCAAGCACAAUAGCAUUGAUAAUGCACUGCAAAGUGUUGUUGGACACAAGAGAAAGGUGCAUGAUCUAACACCAAAGGAGAAUAUAGGACGUGAAGAUACACAUUCUAGGGCAAAGAAGAUUGGGAAGGCCAGACCCGAUUCUCCAUAUGCUAACUUCACCAAUAGCCAACUGUUAACAACUUCCCGGUUCUAGCUCAAGUAAAUUGCCCCUCACUCCCUCUCUCCAUCUCUUAAUUCUUUUUGCAAUCAUAUGUGGACAAUGUAUUAUAUUUAGGUGAUUAAUGAGUACAGGAGUUCUAGCAAAUGAAUAUUAAUCCUAGUGAUAUGCUUUGUAGGUGUUGCUGCUGCAUCUGUUUAUUCUUAAAGAACUAUAGUUCAUGAGCUCAAUCUUGUUUGUGUAAAUAAUAGGAAAUAUGCAUGGUAUGUUAUGAAUUACUAUGAAACUGGUUCUUAUAUUUUGAUGGCAAUGGAUGUUAUGUUAUGGCCGGGAUUAAUUCCCAUACUUUGCCCUGCAAGGUUGGAUGAAAAGAUGUUGGUUUACCUCUUCUCAUGUUGUGAUUUGCUACUUUGCCCUCUAAUCGCCAUGUGCAAGAUGAUGUCUAACAUGACUUUGUAGCAUGGAUAUGAUAGGCACCUGAAUGCAAAUGUAUAUAUUGCAACACGCAUGUAUAUAUAUAUAUAU